rnacentral:lncRNA from 1 species
GGGGCUGUGCCCUCUUAGGGCAGGGAAAAACAGCCACCGGGCCUCUGCACAGUCACCUCCUGCAGCCUGGGGUGUGUCGCCUCUCCACGUCCUCACCGGCGUCUGCCUUUGCAUUUCCCAGAUGCUCGCUUCACCCCACUGAGAUGUAACUCAGUUUUGUGGGAUCCCACUGCCCUCCAGGUGCCGCUCCGAGUGCUCUACACAGAUUUUCAUUCAGUCCUUGCGGCACACGAAGGUAGGCGGCCCCACUGCCCAAUUCAUGGGAGGACAUAAAAAUAUCAACGUGAACAGGAUUUGGGAGAAGCUGAUCUCAAGCCUCAAGGAUGACUUUGAGAACCUGAAGACUUCAGUGGAGGAAGUCACUGCAGAUGUGGUGGAAACAGCAAGAGAACUAGAAUUAGAAGUGGACCCUGAGGAUGGGACUGAAUUGCUGCAAUCUCAUGAUAAAUUUUUUUUUUUUUUUGAGAUCAAGUCUUGCUCUGUCGCCCAGGCUAGAGUGCAGUGGCGCAACCAUGGUUCACUGCAACCUCUACCCAUAGGUUCAAGUGAGUCUUGUGACUCAGCCACACAAGUAGCUUGGAUUACGGGCGCCCACCACUACACCUGGCUAA